rnacentral:misc_RNA from 1 species
AGCAGUGCAGGUCAUCCACCUGAAUGUUUAGCUGAAGAAGUCUCCUUUUCUGAUAGCUAACAAUAAACUUGUGUUUUGGUUGUGCAACAUCGUUUCAUCUCUGUUCUGCAGCAUUUUCCUUUUUUUUCCUACAACAUCAUGUAGCUUCUAGAGAUUGAGUACCUUCCUCCAGGUGUAAGAUUAUAUCCCUGGGUAAACCAAG